UUAUAAAGAAAUCCCACCAGUGCCUUUACUUCCUGAGAAGAUUGCUGACAUUCGGUAUGUCAGAGAGGAUUUUCUUGA